rnacentral:ncRNA from 2 species
GUUGUUUUCAUUCUCAAUGGCGUUGUGAACAAAGUGCAUAUCAACCCAAACAUAAUAGGGAAUCGGGGCGCUGCUUGUCAGUCAGCCCGAACUGUACCCGCAACUGUGAGUAGUAAAAGAAGAACCUAGAACCUAGAACCUAGAACCUAGAACCUUCUUUCCCUACAAGUCAGGAGACCUGCCUAUUUCUGUUAUCGCUG